AGCAGCAAUGAAUAUAUAUUCAUUAUUCAGAACUACCUGUCAAACGAUAAAAUGUAUGGCUCCAAAAUUAUCAUCAAUGGAACCAUUCACAAAAAUUAUACAUCGUAAUAUGCACCAUAUAUGUGAUAAACAAUAUUCAAAUAAUUUGUCAAAUAUGUAUAUGAAUAAAAUUAGUUCAAUAUUAUUGCAACCAUCACUACCAAUGUAUAAUAUCAUAUGUGGUUUGAAAAUGAAGACUGUAUUAAGACGAAGGUGUAGACAUUGCUUAUUAAUGUGGAGAAAUGAUAGGGCAUACAUAAAAUGUAAGGUAAAACCAAGGCACAAUCAAGUGGAAAGGAAGAAAAAGGAAUAUAAAACAUGGAAAUUGACAUAUGCUUGCCAAGGUAAAGUAAGGGAAUGGUAGAGUGUUAUAUACAAAAGGUAACAUUUGAAUUGUACUUUAAAAUAAAAUCAUUUUACGAUAAAAA
rnacentral:lncRNA from 1 species